rnacentral:rRNA from 1 species
UACGAAGGGGGCUAGCGUUGUUCGGAAUUACUGGGCGUAAAGCGUAUGCAGGCGGACUUUUAAGUCGGGGGUGAAAUCCCGAGGCUCAACCUCGGAACUGCCUUCGAUACUGGCGAUCUUGAGUCCGGAAGAGGUGAGUGGAACUCCUAGUGUAGAGGUGGAAUUCGUAGAUAUUAGGAAGAACACCAGUGGCGAAGGCGGCUCACUGGUCCGGUACUGACGCUGAGGUGGCGAAAGCGUGGGGAGCAAACAGG